rnacentral:rRNA from 1 species
AGAGUUUGAUUUUGGCUCAGGAUGAACGCUGGGGGCGUGCUUAACACAUGCAAGUCGAACGAAGCACUUUACCACGAUUUCUUCGGGAUGACGGUUUGGUGACUGAGUGGCGGACGGGUGAGUAACGCGUGGGGAACCUGCCCCAUACCGGGGGAUAACAGCCGGAAACGGCUGCUAAUACCGCAUAAGCGCACAGUACCGCAUGGUACGGUGUGAAAAACUCCGGUGGUAUGGGAUGGACCCGCGUCUGAUUAGCCAGUUGGCGGGGUAACGGCCCACCAAAGCGACGAUCAGUAGCCGGCCUGAGAGGGCGACCGGCCACAUUGGGACUGAGACACGGCCCAGACUCCUACGGGAGGCAGCAGUGGGGAAUAUUGCACAAUGGGGGAAACCCUGAUGCAGCGACGCCGCGUGGAGGAAGAAGGUCUUCGGAUUGUAAACUCCUGUUGUUGGGGAAGAUAAUGACGGUACCCAACAAGGAAGUGACGGCUAACUACGUGCCAGCAGCCGCGGUAAAACGUAGGUCACAAGCGUUGUCCGGAAUUACUGGGUGUAAAGGGAGCGCAGGCGGGAAGACAAGUUGGAAGUGAAAUCUAUGGGCUCAACCCAUAAACUGCUUUCAAAACUGUUUUUCUUGAGUAGUGCAGAGGUAGGCGGAAUUCCCGGUGUAGCGGUGGAAUGCGUAGAUAUCGGGAGGAACACCAGUGGCGAAGGCGGCCUACUGGGCACCAACUGACGCUGAGGCUCGAAAGUGUGGGUAGCAAACAGGAUUAGAUACCCUGGUAGUCCACGCUGUAAACGAUGAA